rnacentral:lncRNA from 1 species
UUUUUUUUUUUCUUCUUUUCAACUUCCUCCAUAUGCUUUUUAGGUGAUUGCAUUAUGCUUGUUUGGCAUCAUGGAUCUACAAUUCAACCUUGCAAAUGCCCACUAUGUCGUCGUCAAAUUAAAUUGUUGGUCCCUAGUGAAACUUCACAAAGGGAGCGUCAUAACCCUGAGGUUGCUGAGAUUUUGCAAAAGGUUCAAGCUUAUAAUCGUCUUUUUGGUGGACAAACUAAUGGUCUCAUUCAGGUUUGUGCAUUUACUAGCUAUGAUAUCUCUAGCACGUUAUCAUCUAGCUAUUAUUUCCUGGAGAAAAGAACCAGAACAUGAUCAAGAUUUAACAACCAAAAAUUGGAGUUUGAUUGACACAUAAAUUUUGAUGCUAAUGAGGGUAUGUCAUGCAUAUAGUUUCUUUUCUUUUCCCCUUAUCUCCUCACUCAUUACAGGCUAAACAGUUCCCAUAUUAUGAAUUAAAUAUAGAUUUACCUGCUUUUAAACCAUCCAGUCCAUAUUCAACUUUAUCAUCCAUUUUUCCAUGCUGUAUUUUUGUGCAAUGUUGUUGCUUUCCUAAACAUUGGAUUUGCUGGUUUCUUUGCUGAAAAAGAGAAAUUUGUUGUUUCACUUCAUUUUUAUGUGGUCUCAGUUUGCACUAUUUCAUUUAGGUUUUUUUUCAUUAUGUUGAUGACAAGGGAGGCAUGAUUUACAUUGUCAUCUACUAUAUUUUCUUUUUCUUUUUCUUUUUUUUUUUUGCUAUUUCUCAUCUGUGGAUAACCUUUGUCCGAAAACUCUCAAAAUAUGUUGGUACUGUGAUUUACAAUGUCUUGCUGUUAAUAACAAAAAUUGCACAGUUGUGGGGAUUUAACCUCAAUCGUUUGUAGGUACCUUACCGAGUUUUACAUUGAAUUUGUUGGUGAGGUAAAGUUUCGCUUUGUGAGGAAAUUGAUGUCUAUUUGUCUAUUGAUAUCAAUGUUACUUAUUGCAUUUAUCAUUUCAUUGAUAUGCAAAACCAUUUUGGAGCUUUACAAAUAGUUUGAGAUGCCAACCGUAGAAAGUAACAAACUCAAGUUUAGACUGUACUUUGAUUUAUUUUGUGGACCUGACCUUGUUCAUAUAAUAAUUCCCCUGUGCUUACUAUGAAUGUUUUAUGUUUUUCUUGUAUUUUUUUUCUCAAAUGUCUUGUCCAUUUAUAAUUGAUUUUCAUGGUUAAAAUUUUGUCCAACUGAACCAAGUAGUUGGAGUUUUUGGCAUUGUCUUCUUCCUUGGACAGCUAGUUAUGAAGUUGUGAGUUAUCUCGAACACAGACACACACACACAUGCACAAAUAGCAAUAGAAAUAGAAAAAGGGUGGAGAAGAACAGGGCUGAUUGGUGAUAUUAGAUCAUACAGCAACAACCACCACCAAGCCUUACUCCCAAAUUAGUUGAGGUUGAUUAUUUGAAUCCUUUUUCGCCAUUCACCGCUAUUUAGACCAGUUCCUGAUUAAUUUUCGAAUGACGUUAGAUUACAACACACACAAAUUUAUAGGUUUUUUUAUCAUAUAUUAUGAAUUCUUUUUUCACAUAUAUUAUGAAGUAGCUAUUUAAGUGUGAUGCUCGAAGCUGAUUAUGAAACAUGUAUCCUCUUAUCCACAGAGAAUGCAAGACCUUCCCUUUCUGCUAAAAAGGUUGUUAAGGGAAAUUAUGGAUCCUCAAAGGUCACUUCCUCUUGUCAUCAGGGCACGUGUCUACAUUGCAGUUAAGUAAUUGGCAACUUUACUGUAAGAAUUAUGUUUUCCCUUGCAUUGUAGUCUUUUAGAUCUCACAUAAUGUUAAGGGCUAUAGAAAGGCUUCAUUCCUGAAAGCUUGUAGAAAGCAUAAGCAGCUGCAAUUUUUCUAAAAAGAAUUACAUGAGCAUAAGUAUUGAUGUUAAGCAUAAUGGGUAGGAAUUUUUGUUCAAGCUCGUGCUAAGAAAAUAAGGAUGUCAAGCAGCUCAAGUCUUGAUUUCGAUCAAUUGUAGCCUAGUGAUUUUCUAUAUAGCAUGCUGCCAUCCUGUUGGAUAGCUUACAUCUCCCUCUAUGAAUAAGUAAUUAGGGUUGUGGGGCAAGUCCCUGUGGUAUGGUGCAAUAAAAUAGAGCCAUUAGGCCAAGUGGAGACAGUGUGGAUUUAUGUGAACAAUUGUCAUUAAGGAAUAUAUAUAUAUAUCUUACUAAUGUAGUAUGGUGGGUUGAGUGUGGAUUAGUGUGAACAGAUGUCAUUAAGGAACCUCUAUAUAUAUAUCUUACCAAUGUAGUAUGGUGGGUUGAUAUGUUAUGGUGGGUUGAGAGUGGAUUAGUGUAAACAGAUGUAUUAAGGAAUGGGUUGAUAUAGUAUGGUGGGUUGAGAGUGGAUUAGCGUAAACAGAUGUAUUAAGGAAUCUCUAUGUAUAUAUAUAUCUUACCAAUACAGUGGUGGGUUGAGUGUGAAUUAGUAAGAACGGAUGUCAUUAUUUUUAUAUACAUAUAUAUCUUAUCAAUGUAGUAUGGUGGGUUGAGUGUGGAUUAAUGUGAACAUAUGUCGUUAAGGAAUAUAUAUAUAUAUAUAUAUAUAUAUAUAUUAAUGUGAACAGAUGACAUAUAUAUAUAUAUAUCUUACCAAUAUCUUAUGAUGAGUUGAGUGUGAAUUAGUCUGAUUGCAACCCAGAAUAGAUGUAGUUAAGGAAUCUAUAUAUAUAUAUAUAUAUCACCAAUGUAGUAAAUGAAGCUUCUUCUUUUCUCUUAUUCUCUUUUCAUUUCCUAUUUCAUCCUCAUAUUUUAUUCUCCUCAAUUCUAAUUCAAUUGUGGUUUGUAUAAAACAUUUUCAUUUGCUCUGGUACUUUAUUUUUUAUUUGUGUUACUUCUCUGUAUUGAUUGUUUACUAUUAUGUUUGUGCUGAUAUUUUUUAAAGAGUUUUUCUUAUAAUUUUUUUUUGUACUAAUUUAUCUUGGUUGAACUUGCUCUAUAGUUGAGUGUAUGAUUUUCAUCAUUUGCUUCCAUCUUUUCAUUAAAAUUCUCUUUGCUUAUUUUUCUUUUAAAAAAAGCUAUUGCAUUACCUUUUGAUUUACUAAAAGAGAUCUCAUUUGUUUACUCCAAAUUAAGUUUAUCAACUUUCUUAAUUGGUGAAGUUAAUUAAUUAAAACUAUUGUUAAGCUAAAGAUUAAUUUAUUAUGCUAAAAAUUUUAACAUGACAAGAUUUUUUUUUUGGUAAAAUCCUUCCAUAUUUUCUUUUCUGUAAAUAUUUUUCUUAACAAAACCCAGAUUUCAUUCACGCUUGCCUUUACAUGAUUUUACAUUGUCAUUUCAUGAAAAACAUAAUUCAAGACUAAUUUUACAAUUAUUUUUAUAAAAUAAUGGGUAGUGAUUGUGACAUUAAUUUUUUUACAAUAAUUGUUUUAAAUUAAAAAUAAAUCAUUUAGUUAAUGUCGCAUCGACGUAAGUAUGAUAAUAAUAAUAAUAACAUAGGUUAUAGAAAAAAUUUUAUUUAAUGAUUAAUAAAAUAUUAAUUAAUUAAUUAAUUUUUUUAAACUAUACAGAUCUCAUCAAAACAAAAUGGAUUUAGAAUAAUUGUGCUCAUAGUACUUGAAUUAUUUGGUGAGUGAUUAAGAUGAAGCUUUUGUAUUUUAUUUAUUUAAUUAUAUAUGAGUAUAAUAUAAUUUUUAUUUAUUUUUUUAUAACAGGAACUAUAAUAUAAUAUAUUAGCAUUUUUGCUUUUAUACAUGUACAUCUAUUUAUUUUUAAAUAUUCAUACUCUAAAUAUCUACUAAUAAUUAUUUAUUAUUUACAAUUAUUUAUAUUCUAAACUUAUACAUUAAUAAAAUCAAAAGAGAGAAGACUAUAAGAAACAUGGAAGGAACUCAGAUAUAUGACACUUCCCUAUAAUUUCUUUGUGUAUUGAAUAUUAGCUUAUUGUUUGCAUGAUAUGUAUUUUUUAUUUUUUCACUUUUUAAGAAUUAUUUUCUUUAUUGAUGUAUUUAUAUUUUGGAAAUUUUUAUUCUUUUAAUAAUUGUUAUAAUUUUGUUUACAUUUUAUAGAUAUGGAUUACUUUUUAUAAUUAAACAUAACAUAUUGAUAACGAUGACCAGUGGUAUUGAAGUAUUGAUUUAUGCCAUUUAUACUCAUAUUUUUAUUAUAUUAUCAGGCAAAUGCAGAAAAGUAUAAAGUUUUUGUACUCCUCUUUUUAUUACACAUUCCAUAUAUUUUCAUAGCAAUUUGAUCUAUUCUUGUUAGAGAGAAUUAAACAAGAAUUUUGUAAUUACAUUAUCUCACCAUCAUUGCAUACAACAUUACAUUUUCUACUACAGUAAGUAUAAUUUUCACUAUUUUUUCACCUUAGUGUCACUUUUAAUUUUAUUAAAUUCUUGAACUAAUUUUAAUUAGUAUACGAGAGUGUAUGUACAUGCAAGAAUAUCAUGUUAUAUGGCAUAAAUUAUUAUAAUAAUAUAUUUAUGUGUUUAUAUUUAAUAAUUCAAUAGAUGGUUCUUCAAAUAAAAAAUGCACAAUCCAUUUCACUUGCAUAGACUUUAAUCAACUUCUUGAGCGUCUGUAGCUGGCUUAUUUUUGGUUUGUUAUUCUUUGAUCUUGAUAUUACGAUAAAUUUUUUUUGAAUCAUUACUUUUUUAUUUUAAUUUAAUAGUGUAUAUUUGUGGUAAUUUUUUUAAAAAAAUUAUUUACUAAACUUACGGAACAAUGUCAGUUUUCUAUUUAUUAUUUUAGUCAAUUAAAAAAUAUAUUGUAAUCGGAUUUUAUUUAUUUACAGAUUCCAUACGGUGUUGGAGCAAGUUUUUAGUUAAUAAAAUUAAUAUUAUAUUUUAUAUAUCGUACUUAAAGACAAACAAAUAAUAUUGAUGAAUUUAUUAGAGAGGAAAAUCAGUUAGAAACAUAAAAUAAUAUUGUCCCUAAUUAUAUCAUUGAUAUCAGUACCAUUUACUAAGAUAUUGAAGAUGAAUUGGAGGAGAAAGAGGAGAGAGAUGUAGCUUGCAUUGAUGCAUCUCUCAUCCUCUUCUUCGUUUUCAAUAUAUUGAUAAAUGAUAUUAAUAUCAAUGACAUAAUUAGAGACGAUAUUGUUUUCUAUUUUUGGCUGAUUUUCCUAACAAAUUCAUCAAUAUUAUUUUCUUGUUUUUGAGUAUUAUAUAUAAAGUAUAAUACUAAUUUUGCUAAUAAAAACAUGCUCCAACACUAGAUGAUGAAAUCUGUAAAUAAAUAAAAUUUGAUUACAAUAUAUUUUUUUAUUGACUAAAAUAAUAAAGAGAAAAAUGACAUUAUCUCGCAGGUUUGGUAAAUAAUUAAAAAAAAAAGCUACCACAAAUAUACACUACUAAAUUAAAAUAAAAAAACAAUAAUUCAAAAAAAAAAACUUAUCGUAAUAUAUAGAUCAGAGUGUAAAAAAAUAAAAAAUAAGCCAGCUACAAACACUCAAGAAGUUCAUUGAAGUCCAUACAAGCGAAAUGGAUUGUGCAUUUUUUAUUUAAAGAACCACCCACUGAAUUAUUAAAUAUAAACAUAUAAAUAUAUUAUUAUAAUAAUUUAUGCCAUAUAACAUGAUAGUUUUGUAUGUACAUACACUCUCAUAUACUAUUAAUAAAAAUUAGUUCAAGAAUUUAAUAAAAUUAAAAGGGACACUAAAGAGAAAAAAAUGAAAAUUAUACUUACGACAAUAGAAAAGGUAAUGCCGUAUGCAAUAAUGGUGACUGUCGAAAUAACGUAUUUAUAAAAUUCUUGUUUAACUCUCUCUAAAAAGAUAUCAAAUUACCAUAAAGAUAUACAGAAUGAGUAAUAAAAAGAGGAAUAUAAAGACUUUACGUCUUUUUGCAUUUACCGAAGAAUAUAAUAAAAAUACGAAUAUAUAAAAAGCAUAAAUCAAUGCUCCAAUGCUACUAGUUAUCAUUGCCAAUGUGUUAUUUUUAAUUAUAAAAGGUAAUCCAUACUAAUAAAAUUAUAAUAAUUAUUAAAAGAGUAAAGAUUUCCAAAAUAUAAAUGGAUUAAUAAAGAAAGUAAUUCUUAAAAGUGAAACAGUACUAAUAGAAAAUACAUACCAUACAAACAAUAAGUUAGUAUUCAAUGCACAAAGAAAUUGUAGGGCAAGUGUCAUAUAUUGAGUUUCUUCCAUAUUUUUUAUAGUAUUCUCUCUUCUGAUUUUAUUAAUUUGACAUUUAUCAAUGUAUAACUUUAGAGUAUAAAUAAUUGUAAAUAAUAAAUAAUUAUUAGUAGAUAUGUAUGUGAAUAUUUAAAAAUAAAUAGUUGUACAUACAUAAAAGUAAAAAUGCUAACAAAUUGUGUUAUAGUUCUAUUACAAAAGAAUAAAUAAAAAUUAUUUAUACUCCUAUAUAAUUAAAUAAAUAAAAUCACAAAAAUUUUAUUUUAAUUACUCUCCAAAUAUCAUGGGUAUAAUUGUCAAUUCUAAAUCCAUCAAAAGAUUUGUAUAGUUAAAAAAAUAAAUUAAUUAAUAUUUUAUUAAUCAUUAAAGAAAAUUUUUUUAUGAGCAUAAUUUGCAUUGAUGCGACAUUAAUUAAAUAAUUUAUUUUUAAUUUAAAAUAAGUAUUGCAAGAAAAAUUAAUGUCAUAACCACUACUAUUAUUUUAUAAAAGUAAUAGUAAAAUUAGUUUUGUAAUAAAAUGUUUAUGGGAAUAUAUUCUCCAUGAAAUGAUAAUAUAAAAUCAUGUAAAGGUAAAGCCUGAAUGAAAUUUUAGUUUUGUUAAGAAGAAUAUUUAUAGAGAAAAAAAUAUAAAAGGAUUUUACCAAAAAGAAAAUAAAAAAAAGAAAAGUCUCAUCAUGUUAAAGGUUUUGGCAUAAUAAAUUAAUUUUUAGCUUAACAAUAAUUUUAAUUAAUUAAUAUUAUCAAUUAAGAAAUUUAUAAAUUUAAAUUGAAGUAAGCAAAGGAGAUCCCCUAAGAAAUCUCAAAAGAUAAUGUAAUAAAAGCAAAAGAGAAUUUUAAUGAAAAGAUGAAAGCAGGGGAUGAAAAUCAUACACUCAAUUAUAGAGUAAUUCCAACUAAGAUAAAUCGGUACAAAAAAAGUUAUAAGAAAAACUCUUUAAAAAAUAUCAGCACACAAAUAACAAUAAACAAUCAAUACAAAGAAAUAACACAAACAAAAAAUGAAGCAUUAGAGCAAAAGAAAAUAUUUUAUAGUUGAGUUAGAGUUAGAAUUGAGUAGAAUAAAAUAUAUGGAUGAAAUAGGGAAUGAAAAGAGAAUAAGAGAAAGGAGAAUGCUUGUUUUACUACAUUGGUGAGAUAUAUAUAUAUAUAUAUAUAUAUAUAUAGAUUCCUUAAUGACAUCUGUUCACAUUAAGCCACACUCAACCUACUAUAUUACAUUGGUAAGAUAUAUAUAUAUAUAUAUAUAUAUAUAUAUAUAGAUUCCUCAAUGACAUCAUUCAACCCACCACUAUAUUUGUAAGAUAUAUAUUCCUUAAUGACAUUUGUUCACACUUAACCCACCAUACUAUAUCAACCCAUCAUACAUACAUUAGUAAGAUAUAUAUAUAUAUAUACACAUAUAUUCCUUAAUGACAUUUAUUCACACUAAUCCACAUUCAACCCACCAUUCCUUAGUGACAUCUGUUCACACUAAUUCACACUGUCUCCACUUGGCCUGAUGGCUCCAUCUUAUUGAACCAUACCACAGGACUUGCCCCACAACCCUUUUUACUUGUUCAUGGUGGAAGACGUAAGCCUAGAGAGUCUGUUCAGCUCACCAACUUGCACAACGUUUCUUUUGUAAGGCCUUUAGGUGUAGCGUAUCUCCAAUAUGAUUCUCUCUAACUUAGCAUUCCAUAUUGUAAUUUAUUUAAGUUUUUGUUGUGAAGUGAGCCGAUUGGAUUGUUAGCUUGUCUAUUCGCAUGCUUGUUAGUUGGUAUUGUAAAACAGACUUGAGAUAACACCUGUAAUCAUUUUUUUUUAUUAUAUUAAUUGAAUACUUUGAAUGUUUUGCUCUUAAAACUAAUAUAGAUAAUUUUAUUGAUUUUGUUCAUAUUAUCAGAACCCAAGAAAUCUUGAAGAUGUAAUUAUUGAUUAUCUUAAUUGAAAUUUUCAUUCUCAAAAUCUUUUUUCUAAGUGUAAUUGUGUGAUGGCUCGUAACAUGUUAGAAGGAGAUUCAAAAAUGGAUCAUAAAGCUAGUUUUCAAUGGAAUUCAAGAUGUUAGAAUUUAGAGUAACUAUGGCUAUUUGAUGAUCUUGCAGAGCUUAGAUCAUCCUGGUAUGUUGUUGAUAUGACUCUCUAAUCUCUCACUGGAAUCAUGGAAAGUGUUAUUGAUUUAUAUAAUAUUUAUUUUCUACUUUAAAUAAUUUAUAUAUUUUUUACUCCAUAUUUUAUAUAUAAUUAUUUUUAAUUAACAUUAAUAAAUAUAUAAAUAUUCAUGAGGAAGCAACCUCAUUUAUAGGUAAUCUUAUAUAUAGAUAUGUAUAAUUCAUUUUUUUAAACUUAUUAAGUCUAUCCAAAAAUAUAUAUAUAUAUAUAUAUAUAUAUAUCUUCUUCAUAAAUAGUCAUCUAAAUUCCAAACAGAAAAUACAAAUAGAGCAAGUGAUGCAGAAUAACAACUAUAUUUAAGAAGAUAUGCAGCAUAUAGUAGAGAAGAUAUUCAAUUAAUGAAAAAGAAAAAGAAAACAAAAAUAAAAAUUUAGAUUAAAUUAUAAAAUUAGAAUUAUUUUUACUAUUUUACUACUAAUAAAAAAAUAUAUGUUCCACAAAUUUUACAUUUUAGUAGAUUGGUUUUACAUGAUAAAAUCAAACAGCCAAAAAAUAAAUUGAUCAAUUAUUUAGGGAAUGGAUUCUCUUAAUAUAUAUAUAUAUAUAUAUAUAUAUAGUAUGACUUUAGUUUGUGGAGAAACUAAUAUAUUGAAAAAAAUGAUAUUUUCAGUUGAUAAGGUAGGUUUUCACACCUUCUACAUGAUUUACUUGUAAAUUUAGAAAUAAUUGACACAUUAAACCAUGUCUACAUGAAAUUCAUUAUAUAUAUGAGGCCUUGUUAAAGUUGUGGAGAGCAACCACAAUCACUCAUUUGCUUAUGCUUUAUUUUUUAAUAUCCACAACCGAAGAGUUUAUAAUAUUUUACUGUGGUUAGAGAUACUGUUAUAUCAAAAUUUCGUUGAAUUUAUAUACUUUCCCUACUAUUUAUGUUUUAUCUUCUCCUUUAUAUUGGUUGAUUUAACUUCUCCUUUAUAUUGGUUGAUUUAAUACUUAAUAUAGAUAUUUACAUGCUCCAGAAUUUCUCUUCCACAUUGUAUAUUUGUAAUCUUUGACAUUAAUUUUGUUUGUCCUCCACACCUAAUUCUAUAAUAAUUUAUAUAUAUAUAACUCAUUUUUUAAAUUAAAUAUUACAGAUUUUAUUGAAAUAUAAUUGUAUUAAUACAAAUUGUAUACGGUUUCAUAAGAUAUUUGGGUGAGUGCAUAAAAUUUAAGUUUAUGAUUUUUAUUUUAUUUUGCAUUAAAUUUGAUAUAAUUUUUAUUUAUUUUUCUUGUGACCGAUUAUCUUUUAUAAGUGAUAAUUUUAUUUAGUUCGUUGUAUGUAAUACAUAUUUAUUUUUAUAUUUUUGUCUUUAAUUUGUUAUUUACUUUUUAAUUAUUUAUUUAUUAAUAUUUUAUAUUUUAAUAAAUUAUUGAUAGAUUUUAAUUAUUUAUUUAGCUAAAUUAUUAAUAGAUCUCACUGAAAAAUAUAAAAUAAAUGGAAUAAUAGGAGAUAUAUUUGUAGUGCAAUAUAUUACUUGUAUAUUAAAAUACAUUGAGAAUGUUCUCAACUCUAUUUUGUAAGCUUAGUAUGUUUCUUUUAAUUUUUCAUAUUUUCUAAUUUAACAUAUAUAAAAUAAUUUACGCUUGAAGUCACCAACUUUGAUUUUAACUUUUUUAUUCUAAUUUAUUCGCAUAUUAUAAAAUUGUUUAAUAUAAAAAUUAAUUAAUUUAUUAAAGAUUUUAAGUCAACAAAAAAGGAAAAAUUAAUUUAUUUUAUAAAUUUUUAACUUUUUAUUAUUUUAUUUUUUAAUUCAAUUAUACAUUAAUAUAAUUUAUGUAAAAUUUUUAUUAUGUAUUACAUGAUAAGUUUUGAGUUUUUAUUUAACUCCUUUGCAAAGAAAGUAAUACAAUACACAAUCGAGAAGUCAUAAAUUUAUAAAAAAAUUUAUCUAACCUCCCCAUAUAUAUAGAAUGUUUCUUUAACUAAGAAAAAUAAGAUAGAAGGAAUUGUCAAAAGAAAAUAUUUGAUUUUACGUCUAUAUGCUAUAGAAGAAUAAUACAUAAAUAUGCACAAUAUGUGCCAUGUACUAUGUACUAGUACUCCUGCAACAGUGGUCAUUGAUAAUGAAAGUUAAUCUUUUAAUAUAAAAGGCAACUUACACUUGUAAAAAGAUUAAAUACAAAUUUUAUAAUUUUACACGAAUGACAUUAAUGUAUAUUUGAAUUAAGAAGCAAAAUGAUAAAAAGUUAAAAUUUUGUCAAAUAAAUUAUUUUUUUUCAUUUUUGCAUUGAGUUAAAUCUUUAAUAAAUUAAUUAAUUUUUAUAGAAAAUAAGCAUUUAUAAAUAUUUCUAUACAUAGGAAUAUAUUUUUUUCCAAUUAGUUUUUUUNNNNNNNNNNNNNNNNNNNNNNNNNNNNNNNNAAGCUUUGCCCCUCUUUUUUAUCUGAAUAAUAUUUGUGCUUAUUAAAGAAAAUGUAAAAAAUACAGAGAUUGAAAAUUUGGGCACCUAACAAUUCAUAAUCCUGAUUCUAAAUACCGAGAAGAAUAUACUAUGAGAAUAUUAUUUUUUUUCUAAGAAAAAAAAUUCUAGCAUUUAAGUUAAAUUAUUCCAAAGAUAAUAUAUAUUGCUAGGGAAUAGUAUUAGUUGAUGAUCGCUGGGUUUCAUCACCUUGGUCUGGGACUAGGUCCACGACACCAGCCCAUUAUCUAGAGGUUCUCAAACCUCAUCACAUGCAUCAAGUCCGGUUCACCCAGUCUGGAGAUCGGACUCCCAUCAAUCUCCCCAACCUUUGGGCCCGAUGAAUAAAAUCCUCUAUAGGUUCAGCCCAUAUCAUAUCGUCCAGUCCGGCUCAGAAUCGGGAAGAAGACCUACCCAUUCUUCACUUGGGACCACCCGUACGAGCGUCUGGAAGAAUCAGGGGCCGUUACGCAUGGGGCAGCGAUCUGAUUUCCUCGUACGUCCAUAUCAACGUGACAGGAACAGAUGGCCCAAUGACACACGUUCUGCUACACGUCACUAGCUGACAAAAGAAAACAUAUAAAAGAGGAGAAAUGUUCUCCUCUAGGCUUAAACUUUUUCCAGUUUUACAGAACCCUUGUAAAAUCCUAUUUUCUGGAUCUCAGCUCAUCAAUUGGCGCCAUCUAUGGGAACGAAGGAGAUCUUUUCAUCUCCGGAGUUCCACUCUGAUAAUACCCACUGAGAUCCACGAUGGCUAACCACAACGAAAACAAUCUUGUCAAUACCCCUAAUGACCUGAGCUCCGCUUAGGAGGGACAACAGUUCUCUUUUUCCAGUCCCACAACACCAAACAACCAAACACCAAUCCCCUUCAACCCCCCGCCAAGCUUGGCAGGGAACGAGCCUGGAGCUGCUCUAUCCAACCAGGACCCUUCAAACCAUGGCCCUCCAACUACAAAAUACCGCCCACUGGUUGGGGCAGAUAAUGUAACAAAGAGGCCUUAACACCCUGGUAAAUGUGUUGCCAGUGGUAGAAGAACCCAGAACCGAUGAACCUCGCCAACCUACCCUCAAUCCUCCUCAAGCAACCAGCCGAGAAACGGAAGAGAGAAGUAGGAGAGUGGGCGGAGAAGUAGAAUCAGAAGCAAGGGUUCACGGAAGGAGAGCGAGGGAGUUGAUUGAGAAUGAUGAAGUAGACAGUUAUUCCGCCGGAACAACUGGGAGAAUGGGGAGCGAGGCAUGGGAGGAGUACCGACAGGAGAAGAAACCCAGGCAGGAGGAGGAGAGCGUAGACCAAAAGCUGCAAAAGAUGAAAGAGCAGCUCUUGGCCGAGCUGGCAGUGAAGGAUCAGAACCAAACUCUCUUGCCCACCUCUUCGCCCUUCUCAAAGUGGGUGCAGCAGGAGACCGUUCCCAAGAAGUUCAUGAUGUCGCCUAUGGCCGCGUACGACGAAGCUGGGAGUCCCCGUGAACACGUCUUGAACUAUAAGACUUUCAUGGAGCUACAAACUCUUUCAAAUGCCUUGAUGUGCAAGGUAUUCCCAACAAUGCUCUCAGGGCCAGCACGGGCGUGGUUCAAUAGCCUCGAGGUUGGAAGUAUCAGCAGCUUUGGAGAUCUGGCCACUCGCUUCAUCAGCUGGUUUAUUGCCGGGGUGCCCGCAGAUAGGAAGACGAGUUACCUGGAGACGAUCAGGCAGAGGAGAGACGAAUCGCUCAGGGAAUACGUCGCUCGUUUCAAUACGGAGGCCCUGCAAAUUCCCGAGCUCGAUGAGGGAAGGGCAGUAGAAGCCAUGCAGAAGGGGACGGCCUCGGCCGAGUUCUUUGGCUCAUUGAGCAAGAAGCCUCCGACCUCACUGGCCCAGCUGAUGAAGCGGGCUGAAAAAUACAUAAGGCAGGAUGAUGCCUUGGUGACAAGCAGGUUCGCCAGGGGAGCGAUAGAUAAGGGGAAAGCACCAGAGGAAGGAAGGCCGGAGAGGCACGAGAAAAAGCAUGGAAAGAGGCCUGAGCCGCACAGACAACCCUGGGAGCGAAGGGACCAAAGACAUCUCCUUCCUCAGGUCUCAGAACAGAGGCCACUCCCUCCGUGGGUUCCAGAGAAGCCGACCCCACUCAGUGCCUCUAGAGCCAAAGUGCUCAUGGCCGUCCAGGACAAGGAGUUCCUCCAAUGGCCCAGGCCUAUGAAAACAGACGCAAACCAGCGAGAUCCUGACAAAUAUUGUCAGUACCAUCGCACGCACGGCCACGACACCAAUAACUGCUUCCAGUUGAUUACAGAGAUCGAGGGGCUGAUAAAAAGAGGAUACCUCAAGAACUUCGUAAAAAAACCGGAGGGACAGAGGCCUCAGCCCAAUCUGGCAGUCCAAGUGCCAAGGAGAAUGGGAGCUGGACCAGUGAAUGAUGGGUCCAGUGGGACCAUCAACAUGAUUGUUGAGGGAACGAGAGGUCGGAUGAGCCGUAGGGGGAAGAAGAGGAGUUGGGAAGGGGAAAGCAACAUCGCCGAGGUCAUGCAGGUCGUCGAGCAUUCACCGGUGGCCAUCACUUUCUCUCUGAAGGAUGCUCAAGGCGUUCAGAUGCCCCAUGAUGACGCCCUUGUCAUUGAAACCGUCAUUCACAAUUACCGAGUCAAGAAGAUCUUAGUGGAUGAUGGGAGCAAGGUGAACCUAUUGCCAUUCCGGGUUUUCCAGCAGAUGGGAAUCCCCGAGGAACAGCUAGUCCUGGAUCAGGCACCGGUCAAGGGGAUCGGGGGAGUACCAGUGCCUGUAGAGGGGAAGGUAAAGCUGGCUCUCACUUUAGGCGAAGUGCUAAGAACUCGCAUCCACUAUACGGUGUUCUUGGUGGUCAAGCUUGCAUUGAGUUACAACGCAAUCCUGGGGAGACCUGCGCUGUUUGACUUUGAAGCCGUCACCAGUAUUAGAUAUCUGGCGUUGAAGUUCCCAACAGAGGCAGGAGUGGGAGUAGUCCGGGGAAGCCAGGAAGAGGCGAGAGCAGUGUACUUAGCCACAGUGGCAGAGCCGAGUUCGACAGCAGAGAGACUUGACUCAGAAGUGCUAGAGGUCAGGGAUGAGGAGAAAGAAACCAGAACAGAGCCGGUGGGGGAACUAGAGACUUUUCCUUUGUCAGAAGCAGAGACAAAUAAGAUCUUCAGUUUCAAUGCCUGCCUCACUGAAGAAUAAAAAACUGAAGUCAUGGCCCUGAUCCGAAGUCACGCAUCGAGCUUCGCCUGGAAGCCUUCCGACAUGCCCGGGAUUGACCCUGAAGUGAUAACCCAUAAGCUAAACGUCCUCCCCGACGCCAGACCGGUGAAGCAGAAGAAGAGGGUGGUAGGAAGGGAGAAGCAACAGGCCACCAGGGAGGAGGUGCGUAAGUUAGAAGAGGCAGACUUUAUUAGGGAAGUCAUGUACCCGCAGUGGUUAGCAAAUCCUGUAUUAGUCAAAAAGGCCAAUGGCAAAUAUAGGAUGUGCAUAGAUUUUACUAACCUGAAUCAGGUCUGUCCUAAAGAUUGUUAUCCCCUCCCUGAUAUUAAUAAAAUGGUCAACUCUACGGCCGGUUUCGAUUACAUGUCUUCUUUGGAUGCUAUGUCUGGCUAUCACCAAAUCCCAAUGGAUAGGUCGGAUGAAGAAAAGACCUCGUUCAUAACAGAAGAUGGGACCUAUUGCUAUCAAGCCAUGCCCUUUGGACUGAAAAACGCUGGGGCAACAUACCAAAGACUGAUGAACAAGAUUUUCAAAGAUUAGAUCUGCAGAAAUGUAGAGGUAUAUGUAAAUGAUAUGGUGGUCAAAAGCCCAACUUUCCAGCAACAUCUCGUAGAUCUGAAGGAGGUAUUUGAGGUGCUAGAACAGUACCAUAUGAAGUUAAACCCGGUGAAGUGCGCUUUCUGCAUCAGGGGAGGAAAGUUCCUAGGAUACAUGGUGAAUGGAAAACGCAUCGAGCCUAAUCCGGAGAAAGUAGAAGUUAUACUGAAUAUGCCUGAGCCAACCUGCGUGAGAGACGUCCAGAGACUUACUGGAAGAGUAGUGGCACUCAAUCGAUUCAUGUCAAGAUCGGCAGAAAAAUGCUUACCGUUCUUUAUAAAAUUGAGGAAAGUGCCGAACUUCGAAUGGACCGAAGAUUGCCGAGAGGCUUUCAAAAAGCUCAAAGGCUAUCUCAGCUCGUCCCAUGUACUCAGUAGCCCCUUGGAAGGAGAAGAACUUCUGAUAUACUUGGUAGCCUCUGAGCAAGCAAUCAGCGCAGUAUUGGUAAGGGUAGAUGAAGGAGAACAAAAGCCAAUGUUUUACGUCAGUAAGGUGCUCAAGGAUGCCGAGAUCAGAUAUCUGAACAUUGAAAAGAUGACGUAUGCUCUGUUGCUAGCAGUCCGAAAGUUUAGAGUCUAUUUGGAAAGCCAUCAGGGUGUAGUGAUGACAAACCAACCUCUGAAGAAGAUUCUGCACAGACCGGAAACCUCAGGUCGGAUGCUUGCUUGGUCCGUUGAGAUUAGUCCUUACUGCCUGAAGUAUCGACCCCGGACUGCUAUAAAAUCUCAGGCCCUGGCUGAUUUCAUAGCAGAGUGCUCAUUCAACGAAGAGCGGGGAGAGCCAUCUUCCGAAGCGUCGGGGAAUGGGAGAGAAGGGGAGCCUUUCCAAGAAUUUAACUGGAAGUUGUAUGUAGACGGGGCAUCAGGCGCUGGGGGCAGUGGCGCCGGAAUAAUGCUCAAGGGACCUGGAGAAUUUAAGGUCUGCUACGCCCUACGCCUGGAGUUCAAGGCCUCCAAUAACGUGGCAGAGUAUGAAGCCUUAAUAAAUGGGAUGCUGGUGGCAAUGGAGGUAGGGGCGACCGACCUCGAAGUGAAUAGUGACUCCCAACUGGUGAUCAAUCAAGUAACUGGGGCGUAUCAGGCCAGAGACCCAACCAUGCAGAAUUACCUAGCAAAGGUAAAAGCCAUAGAAGCCGAGCUCAAGGGUCGGGGAGCCAUCAUCAAAUACCAGAGAAUACCUCGAGAAGAAAACGAAGAAGCAUAUCUGCUUAGUCGGUUAUCUCAGGAAGAACUAGAGCAGCUCCCUGAUGAAGUGUACAUACAACAUGUCAGCACUCCUGCUUUUAAUAAAACAGCAUCUGUGUUGCAGGUAGAACAAAGCUAGACCUGGAUGACCCCGUACCUGGAAUAUCUGGAAAAAGGAAAGCUUCCUGAAGACAAGGAUGAAGCAAGAAAGAUAGCAGCUCGCGCGGCUAAUUACCAAGCAGUAAAGGGGACCUUGUACAGAAGGGGGAAGUCUAGCUCAUGGCUCUGGUGUGUGAGCCCGGAUGAGGCAAUAAAGGUGAUGGAAGAGAUACACAUGGGCAUAUGCGGAGCUCACGAAGGAGCAAGAACACUGGCCAAUAAAAUAUUCAGGCAAGGGUACUACUGGCCCACUGUUAAAAAAGAGGCAGAAGAGUUUGUCCGGAAAUGCGAUGUAUGCCAGAGGUUUGCCAACGCCAUCAAUAUCCCAACCCCUCCUCAGUCCAGCAUAUCCAGCCCGUGGCCGUUCUCACAAUGGGGAAUAGACAUUCUGGGACCCUUUCCCAAAACCACAGGGCAGAAAAAGUUUGUAGUAGUGGCUGUGGAGUACUUCUCUAAAUAGCCAGAGGCGGAGGCAAUUCCCACGAUCACAGCCCGCCAGAUGAUAGAUUUUGUAUGGGGACACAUCAUCUGUAGAUUUGGCAUACCCAGGGUGCUCAUCUCAGACAAUGGCAGACAAUUUGACUGCAGCGCCUUCAAAGCGUUCACGGCAAACAUGGGCAUAUGGCACAAGUUCUCCUCAGUGGCCCAUCCUCAGACCAACGGUCAAACAGAGGUCACCAACAGAGCUAUCCUCCAAGGAUUUAAGAAACGGCUGGAUGGGGUCAAGGCGAACUGGGCGGAAGAGCUCAACAGCAUCCUGUGGGCACUCCGAACUACCCCUAGAACGUCCACUAAAGAAACGCCCUUCUCACUUGCUUUUGGCAUAGAGGCCGUAGUCCCAGUCGAGCUACAAAUCCCCACUCAUCGAGUCUAAUUUGCCAACGAGAGCGCUAGCGAUGACAAGUUAAGGAGCAACCUGGAUGCUCUCGAAGAGGUUAGGGAGGAAGCUCAAGUCCGAACUGCCGCUUAUCAACAGCGGGCAGCCCGUUAUUACAACCAAAGGGUUAGGGAAAGAAGCCUAAAGGUGGGAGACCUAGCCCUAAGAAACCUCGAGGCUACGGGAAAAAGAGCGGCAGUAGGCAAGUUGGCACCAACCUGGGAGGGCCCCUUCAGAAUAGCAAAAGUGGUCAAGUCAGGAGUAUACCGAAUUGAAGAUAUGCAGGGAAACCCUGAGCCCCAUGCCUGGAAUAUCCAGCACUUGAAAAGGUACUUCCCCUGAGGUAUCGUCAAAUGUAAAAGACCUAUUGUAUCUUAAAGCAUGAUAAUAAAAUAGACGGUGAUUAUCGUCCCUAUUCAUUAUUUGUUUCUACUCACAUUGCUUUCAUGAAAGAAACAAAAAAAAAAAAAAAAGGAAAGAGGCAUAGAUGUCCAAGACCUCAGUUAGGUAGGUGGCCGGGCUCCUAAAAGGCCCCCGGCACCACAAAACCGGCUGAGAUGAUGAAGCGACAGUAAGGCCAAUGAGCCCGAACCUUGCGCAAGAUCUCAAAAUGGCCAGCGGGAUCACCAAGGUCUCCCUGGAGCAAAAACGGCCGGCAGAAUCACCAAGAUCUCCCCGGAGCAAAAACGACCAGGAUCCCGUAAGAUCUCCUGGAGCAAAAACGGCCGGCGGGAUCACCAAGAUCUCCUCGGAGCAAAAACGGCCAGGAUCUCGUAAGAUCUCCUGGAGCAAAAACGGUCGGCAGGACCUCUAAGAUCCUCCCCGAACAAAAACGGCCAGGAUUCCUGAAACGCAACCCGUAUAAGGCUCGUCAAAGAAAGCAAGAAAUUAAGUAUUGACUUCACAGUGAGGAAGCCGAAAUUCUGAACUCCUGAGCUCGACACACAUAUAGCAAAAAGCUUAUGCAAAGAAUAAAAAUCCGAGCUCCUUAAUCCGUUGAAUGAACGGACUCACGACAAAAGCAAGAAACCCUGCCCACAGCUCGGAUUAACUCACAGUAAACAAACACUUAGCAAAAAUGACCCUGGGAGAGAAAAAUGAUAAAGAAAGCUGGACUCCCCACCCCAGUGGAGCAUACAUCCCAGACCGCACCGACUGACAAAGGGUCACUUCCAGAGGGACCAGAUAUCCGAGCUCAUAACCAGAAAGAAAGGUAACAUCGUCUAAAAUGAAGCCGCACAGUUACAAAUAAAAGCCUGAGGAUUUACCCCCUCACCACUCAUGUAAUAAAUGCUGAGGAGGUAAAGGGGCAAUCCGAGGAGAAAUCCAAUGGCGUGAACAGAUGAGACCCCAACUUCAAUCUAGCAAAUCAGAACUAAAAGCAAAAAGGCCAGCCCUGCUCAUCAUCUCUAAAGGUACAUGAUCUAACUUAUUGUUAUUAAGCAAAGGUCGUAUGCCCGAGCUCAUAGUAAUGAAGUAAUAAGAGAAAAAUGAUGAUGUCCUUACAAGAAUCAUAAAAGCUCAUAGGUCGAAAGUUCAGCCUACUGUUAAAAACAGAGCUCACGGGUACGGCUAGUCCAGCUCGGAAAGAGCUUGUGGAUAAGAAUGCCUUAGCGAAAUAGAUAAAGUUAUAAGCCAAAAGUUCAGUCAAUUUAUAGAAUUUUAGUUCUGGUGAGCUUGAAGGCAAAAAGAGAAAAACAAGCAAAAUAAAUGAAAAUGAAAUUUCAUUCAAAGAAAAAGAAGAUUUGCAGUCUAAUCACCCACUCUAUUGAAGGAAAAACUGUCCUCAAAGGACUUACAUGCCUAGGUACAUUAUCAUCUACAUUUACAUCACUAUCACCUACACUAUUUUCUUAGCUUUCAAUUCAGGAAGAAUCCUUACAGUUCGGAAGAUGAGCUUCGCGAGUCUGUUGGAUCCCCCCUUUUUGUAGCUCGGCAGACUCCCUAUACUCCCUUAGACGCUCCUUACAUUCCAGCUGAACUCUAUCUCGAUAUUAUAGGAGAACUGAACAAGUUGAUACCCAUAAGCAUCUCUUACUGUUCCAUCAUAUGUUGUGUGUAUAUCACGCAUGAAAAACAUAAGUCUUCAAGUUAAAGUCCCGGGAAGGUCAGCAUUGUCACUGAAAAAAUUAUCUCGAUUGGCUACUGAAUGAACAAAACAUUCCACGGGAUUCAUGCGGGUUAAAAAAGAACCUUCAACGACAGUAGAGGGGAUAUAACACUUGGCAAGUUCAGUUGCAUCAUCCCCUUUUUGCUUAUUCAAAGCAGCACAAAGAAAUUGGCGAGGCAUUCUGAAGGGCAAUGGAACAACUAAACUCUAGAUAUCACGAAACACAUGUUUGAAAGCAUCAAUAGAAGCUCGAUUGAGUGCAGCAAAUCUCUGUUUCUCAUAGCACAAGCGCUCUAUAUCAAAAUUCUGACACGAACCCACCAUGAGCUGCUUUAUGUUACAUGUGUGAACUGCAUCUUGUAUUCCAUAAUAAAUCUCAGAAAUUAUGUUAUUCCGUGAGUUUGAGUCCGGAGUAGACAUCAGGGGCACCACGAGAACCUUCUCGUCCCUCCCGAGAGGAAGAAAGGCAGGAACCGAUCUUCUAGAAGCCUAAGACUUAUUUGGAAUGCGAACUAGGACAGGCACUUCGGGGAGAACGGGACGCUUGUCCCCGACUUUCUCCGCUACACCCCAUCAUCUACAAAAAUGAGUUCCCUCUCCUCGGUAGCUGAGCUGACCUCGGGAAAGGCCCCAUGAACAUUCCCCGCAGAGGCAAGCUCAGUCCUACUUGCAAGGACCCCCUCCUCAGCUAUGGAGGCCUCAAGCCUCUCUCCAGAAGUAUCGCCAGAUGGCGGGGCAGGCUUCGCCCCCAUCAACUCGGAGUCCUCGCGCGGCCUUGAAGUUUGAGGAGACCUGAGAGCUUGAACAACUAGAGCGACUGAGACCGACCUGCCGCCGCUUGGCGGCCUUGAAGAUUUGGCACCUCGAGAGCUCGACAUCGGAGCUUGGGCAAGAGCAAGAGAAGGAGGUCGGCCGGACGACCUGGACAAUAUGACUUCGGCCACUUGUUAGGUAACCCCCCUCACCGAUCGCCCUACUAGGAGGGCGUCCGAGGCAACAUUCAGGCUCCCCCUGAGUAGCGUAAGAAUCUUAGGGGACUUAAGCUGAUCCAUCUUCAUCUCAGAAACUGCAAAAAAUCCAAAAUCGGGGCAAUUCAGAACGAUUCUCAGUAAAAAUCACAAAAGCAAGACUAAAACAGACCUCCAUGAGAGACAAAGUAAUAAAAUGUUCGGCUCGCCUUGACCAGUCCGGACAUCGAACAAGCGCCCUGUGGACGUAAAACGCCCGCUCAGACAGAUAGAUUCGAAAGAAAAUAUGAAAAGAAUGAAAUUAGGGAUCAACACUCGAGAAGCAAUCUCGAAAUAUUAGAAAACCCCGUGAAAGAAAGGAGAUAAGGGAAAGGGUAUACCAUACACUUUCUGUUUAACAGAGAAAACUGAGCGCACGUCUUUCUGAGGAUCGAUUAUACUGGAGGUAUGUGGAUCGGGAAGGGAGAUCCUCUCAUUCCGGUGAGGGUCCCGAAGGUGAAAAGGGAGGUGAUAUCAAGAUACACCCUGAGAAUGAGGUUUUUAUACCGAAUGGAGUGAUGCUAGACUCUAGGAUAGCGGUACCAGGAUCCUUAAAAGCUAUUCAUGGAAAAGGAAGAAAAGCGUACCUUGAAGAUAAAAGCAGGGAAAUGAAGAUGGCAGAGUGCACAAAGAAUAGAGGAAAGCCGGAAGUAGAAAAAGACAGAGAGGAUUCGAAAGUCAAAACGACAAUUAGGUGAAAGGGCGUUAUGAGGCAAGCUGUAUAUCAACAGGCGCGGUCAUAAUGAUUUUCGGUAUUUACCCCCUCAUCAGUUGGGCAAUAACUGACGAGAAGGUAAAGGGGCAAUUGAUGACCGCUGGGUUUCAUCACCCUGGUCUGGGACUAGGCCCACGACACCAGCCCAUCAUCUAGAGGUCCUCAAGUUUCAUCACAUGCAUCAAGUCCGGUCCACCCAGUCUGGAGAUCGGACUCCCAUCAAUCUCUCCAAUCAGGCCGGCCUAGACCUUUGGGCCCGAUGAAUAAAAUCCUCUAUAGGUUCAGCCCAUAUCAUAUCGUCCGGUCCGGCUCAGAAUCGGGAAGAAGACCUACCCAUUCUUCACUUGGGACCACCCGUACGCGCGUCUGGAAGAAUCAGGGGCCGUUACGCAUGGGGCAGCGAUUUGAUUUCCUCGUACGUCCAUAUCAACGUGACAGGAACAGAUGGCCCACUGACACACGUUCUGUUACACGUCAUUAGCUAACAAAAGAAAACAUAUAAAAGAGGAGAAAUGUUCUCCUCCAGGCCUAAGCUUUUUCCAGUUUUAUAGAACCCUUGUAAAACCCUAUUUUCUGGAUCUCAGCUCAUCAUUAGUAAAAGAAGUAAACUCACAAUGUGUCCACAAUUUAAUAAAUGAGAAUUAAAAAAACAUACCAGGUUUAACAGUUACGAUGGAGAACAUUAUUAAUAUAUUUUAGUCUAGAAAUAAUAUAUAUAUUGGACUAAAGACAUGUUUCAUGUUAUUUUAUUUCUUUUAAUUUUUCUUACUGAAAAUCCAUAAUGGUUUAUUAAAAUAUAAAAUAUUAGCAAAUAAAUAAUAAAUUACUGUCGGCCAACAUAAAAAAAAUAAAAAAAAUAAAUAUAUGAUAAAUACAAAAAAGCAUACAAAUUAUCACUAGUAAAAAACAACCAAUCACAAGAAAAACAAUUAAAAAUUAUGUCAAAAUUUAAAUAAUAAAACUAAAUAUUUUCAAUUUACACAAUUAUAAUUAAGAGAAUUAAAUUAAAUUUAAAAAAUUUAAUGAUAGAUUAUAAUAUAAUAUUUAAAAUAUUAUAUUAUUAAAAAUAGUCUUUUAAUUUAAAAAAAGUAAUA